rnacentral:rRNA from 1 species
CCUACGGGAGGCAGCAGUAAGGAAUAUUGGACAAUGCUCGCAAGAGUGAUCCAGCCAUGCCGCGUGCAGGAAGAAUGCCCUAUGGGUAGUAAACUGCUUUUGAACUAGAGAAAACCCCAGUACGUGUACUGGGCUGAUAGUAUAGUUAGAAUAAGCAUCGGCUAACUUCGUGCCAGCAGCCGCGGUAAGACGAAGGAUGCAAGCGUUAUCCGGAUUCAUUGGGUUUAAAGGGAGCGUAGGUGGACUGAUAAGUCAGUGGUGAAAUCUCCGAGCUUAACUCGGAAAUUGCCAUUGAUACUGUUGGUCUUGAGUACAGUUGCUGUGGGCGGAAUAUGACAUGUAGUGGUGAAAUACAUAGAGAUGUCAUAGAACACCGAUUGCGAAGGCAGCUCACAAAGCUGUAACUGACACUGAGGCUCGAAAGUGCGGGGAUCAAACAGGAUUAGAUACCCUGGUAGUCCGCACCGUAAACGAUGAUUACUCGCUGCUAGGGGGCAACCUUUAGUGGCUUAGCGAAAGCGAUAAGUAAUCCACCUGGGGAGUACGCCGGCAACGGUGAAACGUCAAAUGAAUUGACGGCGNGAGAGNGCGAGACGACGACGAGGGAGGAGG